GGAACCGCUAUACUGAUUUCCAUAGUGGCUGUAAGUUUGCAUUCCCUCAGCUUGACUUUGCAAUAUGGGAAGAUACUCAUUGGACUCUUGCAUCUUUCCCUCACCAGAGAAGUUUCUUUGUCCUGGGCAUAGUGGCUACCACAGAAACUCACAGUUGGUCAAAGUGCAGAGACUAAGAGACCAUUCAGCUACAAAGGAGACUUUUACCCUCUCACCUACAGUGAAGCUAGGGUAGAAAGCUAAGAACCAGGUGCCAGAGAAAAGCAGUGUCUUCUUGACUGAACAAGGUUACUGCACGCUUGAGCUCAUGGCGGCUGGGGUUGUCUGUACAAGAUCAAGCAAGUCAGCAUUAUGGCAUGGAGUAGGAGGGACAGGGUGUUAGCAUUCCCCUCCCUUCAGCCGAGGAACUAUGGACAGUCGAUGGCUUCAUGAGGUAAGAUAAUUAUUUUUCUUUAAUGCUAUGGCCUCUGGUAGGUGGAGCACACUUUAGUAGAUGUCCCAGCAUCCACACAUACAGAGUUGGUCGGCUAUUUUAAAAAGUAGAACAGACAUUUUGGAAGGAAUAUAUUGAUGGCAGUGAAGCUGGAAGGAGUGAGUCGGAGGAGCAGAGAUUAGUGUGAUAAAAGUACAUAUGAAAUCCUCAAAAAUUAAUAAACAAAAUAUAGUUUAAAAAACAGGUUGGAGAAAUGGCCCAGUAGUUAAGAGUGCUUGCUGCUUUUGCAGUGGCUCCAGAACCUACAUGGAUGGUUGCAAACCAUUCUAGCUCCAGGGGAUCUUACAAUUUCUUCUGGCCUUCAUGGGCAUCCAAACUCACACGCUUACCCCCUCCCUACAUACCCAUCAUUGAAAAUAAAUAUAUUUUAAAAAUCAUGAUAUAAUUCAUCAAUUCAGAAAUGAAAUAGAAAAUAUCUCUAUAGGGCAUGUAGGUAUCAAAAGAUGCCUUAGCUAUUUUUAAUCAGAUUAUAGAAACGAAGAAUUGGUCAGUGGGUGAGGAAGAGGUGGAGCAGGAAGGGUGUGGUCAUAAAUGGGGGACAUGAGGCCCCCUUGGGAGCAGAGAUGCUCAGUGUCUUUCCUGUGUCCUUGUCCAUUUACUAGUUCUGAGGCUCUGAUGAGAUAACAGCUCUAGAGGAAUGGAGGGAUGGUAGAGAACCUCUCUCUAAUUUUCAUAGACACUUGUGCGAAUCCAUAUUUAUUUUAGGAUUAAAAGCUUAACUAGAAUGUCUUAAAAGGUUAUGUAACUUAAUAAUCAAAGCUUAUAAAACCAGUGAGUUCUAAGUUCAUGUGUGUGUGGCUUUCUGUAUACAUGAUUCCUGUGGUUCCACAGGAGACAGACCUGACAUCACUCCUUUUUCUGCUUUGGCUUCCCACGGAAACUGUCCAGUGUUCUUUCCACUUUGUGUCUGGAGCGUGUUUUCCCUUACCAAGGGGCCUCUGUUCUUCCUUAUUAUCUUCAUAUACUCAAUUCCUACUCAUCUCCCAAAUGACUUCCUGGGGCAUGCUGCAUUUCCCUGGUUCCCCAUCUAGAGUGUAAGCCUUCUAAAGACAGAGGGGGCAGGGCAUGUCUUUUCCCUACUCUCUUCUCCAGAUCUAACUCUGUGGUCACAUAUAUGUUUAAUAAUACUAGCGACAUGAAUCCAUCCAACUAACUUCCUCAUCCCUCCAUUGGAUCUUUCAUGCCAAGCCUUUGUCCUUCGCUGGAAUCUAGGAUGUAAAUGCACCCAUCCCUCUACCAUUCCUACCCACACCUAACGCCCCAUGUUUUAUCAUGCCUCAUUUUUUAAGUUCAUUAAUAUGGUUUAUAUGUGUGUCCACAUGUGCAAGGUGUGCAGAUGUGCAUGUACACGUAUGUGUGCAUGGAAGGCCAGCUUGCCCUGGGGACUCUCUGUCUCCUUAGAUUCUGGAUUACGGACAGACCACAGUGCUUAUUCAAUAUUUGUGUGGGUUCUGGGUAUCUAAACUUUGGUACUCAACGCUUGGACAACAAGCACUUUAUGGACCUCCCCCAUUCAGUGCUGAAAGGCAAGAGCAGCCCACCCAGCCUGACCUCCAAGGUGCAAAACAUGGGAUCAAUUUAGAAGCUGCCAUUUGACUUUUCCAAACACACUUAGGUUUCUAGGACAUGUUAAAAGACAGUUUAAACAAAUGAAAGUGUAUUGUGCCCUUACAGUGGGAUGGACGCUAUGGUCCGUGUGUGUCAUCUAUGCCUUACCAUUGAAGAGAUGUGUUUAUUUCCAUUGUAAGAAACUUGAGUUCAUAAAGACGAGCUCUUUCCCCAAAGCCACACAGCAGGCACCAAGGAUCUAAGUUAAGAUCUCCUUAAUCCCAGAGCUCUUUCCAGCAAGGGCUGGAGUAUUCCUUAGAAAAUUAUCUGACAAUAAUUUUCGCUUUAGGAGAAAGACUAGACACUCUUUUGUCUGACCUUUCCAAUUAUCUGACGAGCCCGGUGUUAAUCAGCUGAGUCAGAAUUGAUGACCUCAGGAUGGCUUAAGCCCCAAACCAUCUUCUGAUGAAAUGAUAGAACAAGACUGGUAGGCUAAUUAACGAGUCCAAAAACAUUAUGUGAGCCCCAAUGAUGCCUUUGCUUCUGGCCCAUCCCACACCCUUCCCAAAUAAGAAAGCAACUAAUUUGCAAAAUCCUGGCUUCUGUGAAGCAGCUGUGAGAGUCACUGACAUAUAUGAUUAGCAUAAAAUUAAUUCCUGUUGGAGAAGCAUUAUUACCACCCCUAAUGAGGUUCAGAAACUGAUUAGUACUGUGUGGAAUGGUGGAUACCAUUAAGACCUCUCGAUGAAAUCUGCCUGGGAUGUAAUUUUCAAUAUAAAGCCUGGGAUGCGCAUUUCACAUAAAGAUCAUGUGUGUUAUACCAUGGACUGCCUGGGUCCAUUUCAGCUGAAAAAUGCCAGAGACUUGGUGGUUAACACGCACUUCUUCAAACUGGGAUCCCAGGAACUCCAGGCUGAUAUGUGGGUGGCGAGAGCUCCCUUCCCAGCUCACAAUGGCCAGGUUUUCAUUUCACCCUCAUAUGGAAGAAAGGACAGGCUCCCUUCUGGGACUUCUGAUAAUACACUGCUCCUGUUCUUGAGGGCUCUAGUCUCAGGAUCUCACCAGCUCUGAAAGGCCUAUGUCCUCUAACCAUAGCACUCUGGGGCAAGGAGCUCUAAGUCAGAGUUCUGAGAGGACAGGUAGAGUCCAAAUCAGCCAUUUUGUGCAAGGGUUUUUCUCAGUGAUCUGAGACUUAGAAAAAUGUAUAUGAAUGUCAAUGAGUCUUUUGUAACAUUUCUAUAGGUAAUUCUAUAUAGAAGACAAUUAUGGGGAUUUUAAUUCUCUAGGUCAAACAUCCUUUCAGGGAUCCAAAUUUAUCAUUUCAAAUGGGAAAGGAAGAGAAAAGGGGAUCUGCCCUAGCUGUGUGUGGUAGCAUGUGUUCUGAUGGUAGAAAUCAGCUGCCACCCUUACCUACAGUAAGCGGUUAACCGAGGUACGACUGUAGCUUCAGCCUUUUCCUCUGUGUUUUAGCUUUGUCAUUUAACUAAACAUCACACUCUAUAUUGAAAUCACUUACGAUGAUAACAUAAGCUCUUUUUGGACUAAUUUUUUUCCAUAGACAUCAUUUUACUGCGUUUACAAUAUUGCUUCGUAUCGAUGGGCAUAAUUUACUUGAUAAUUGCCUGAAUGUCAGACUUCCUAUUUCUUUCCAAUUUUCUCUCCUGUAUAUAACGCUGUGAAGCUCCUCUUACUGCACGCUGCUCUGUCUGCACUCAUUUGUUCCCACCAAUGAUUUGCUACAAACGCAAUUACUUGGUCAAGACAGUUUCUGGAUAAGCUUUUUUGGGUAUAAACAUCAUUGGAUAGACUUUUUUUUAAAAAACUAUAACUGAAAUAUAUUCAGGGACAAGGGAGUUCUCUGGAACUCCUUUGAUAAGGGCACUAAUCCUGUCCUGGAGGGUUCUGUCCUUAUGUGUAACCAUGUCCCAAAGGCCCCACCUAGAGACCUAUCAAGUAAAAUAGCUUCCCUUUCAAAUGGAAGGAAAAAAAAAAACAAAAAACAAAACCAAACACUUUCAGACACACUGAAAUCAAAACAGUUACUUACUUUUUUGCCUUUAAGCACACAUUCAAAGAAAUACUAAAGGAUUUUUCUAAAACAGGAAAGCUUAUCUCAUAAAAAUAUGGAAAUACAAGAAAUAAAAAGAAUCAGAAAAUGUAAAUAUGUGGACAAAUUUAGAUGUCAAAUUCAUGUAGCAAUACUAACUUAGAAUACAUGGAGACUGAAUAGAUGAAGCCACACACGAUAUGAUGGCAAGGUCACAGAACUGAACUUCGCGAAGUUCUUUCGUGUAUGAAAGGUGAGUCAAGUGACCAUUUUUAUUGAUCUUUAGCAGACUAUAAUAAUGACUUUGUGGUCAUUGAAGGAAAUGGGGAGCACUGAUAAGUAAGGACGCAAGAGAGAUGGGACUGAAAGACACUUCAAAAUAUUUUUAAAAAAUCCAAGAAUGACGGUGGCGAAGUCCCUCAGUAUAUGGGCAACUGGGUUAGCUGUCAGUGGGCUAAAUAUUGACUAAAUGCAGCGUCUUUGCUGAAGAUGGCGAGGACACAACCAGAUACUUGAGACGUGAAGGCAGAAAGGAGAUGAUGCUGGUGGAUGCGACCAAGGAGUAGUUACGGCCACAGGCGAGAAGAGCAUGGCAGAGAAUCGACAAGAACAAAUUCUGUUUGGAAACACCCUAACAAAAAACUAAUUCUGCGAGUGCUAAUUAGACCACAAAAUAAAACACGUACCUGUACACUCUAUUACGGUUGAUUUUAAUGUCAACUGGCUACAAGUUAGCAUCUCCUGAGCCUGGGGAGGGAGUCUCAGCUGAAGAGCUAUGCUCAAGGUUGGAUUGACUUGGCACUGCCCACCCUGGAUGUGGGUGGCGCCCUUUGGUAGCAGCCCAGAUUUUAAUUAAAAGGGCGUGACUGAAAGAGUUUAUCUUGAAUUUUGUUUGCUUGGCCUCCCUUUCUGCUGCUGCUGAUUUCAUCCCUGACAGUGAGCCAGGGUUUCCAAGUUUUCAUUAUGGAUUAGAGUCUAGAGGUUAUCCGGGUAUCUUCCGGGUUUCUGGGACUGGAGUAGGCGUGCUGAGGCAGCCUGCCAGCUUUAGCGAGAGGCAGCUACUGUGGAGCUGCCUUUAGCUGACUUCGUUGAGGCAGUAACUUAGUCCUUAAGGACUAAGCAGCUACCAAGUUCUCAGCUUCUCAGUGUGAUUUACCUAGUGCCACUAUCAGUGUGGUCCCCAAAUGCCCUUGCUUUCUGACCAGCAGUCUAUGCCCUAGUGUGGCUGGGCAGCAAAAAUAGAAUGUCCCAGCCUGGGUGACCUAACUGAUAGACACUUAUUUUCUAACAGUUCUGGACGGUGGAUGGUGGGAAGUUGAUAUCAGGGUCCUUUGCCAUUUGAGUUCUGGUGUUGAUGAUCCACCUGGCUUGUAGAUUGUGCUCUUUCCCGGAGAUAAAGUAAGCAAGCCCUCGCCUCUGUCUCUUCACCGAGGAUGCUGAACCUUGUCACACACACUAGGGAUGCACCCUGUGACCUUACACAAUUCUUUUUUUUUUGUCAUGUUUUUUAGAUAGGGCUGAUUAUGUAGCCCUGGCUGGCACUUACUUCAUAGAUCAGAUUGGACUCAGAUUCACAGAAAUCUCCGGAUCUCUGCCUUUGUCUCCAGAGCGCUGGGGUUAAAAGCAUGUGUCACUACACUCUGCCAAAGCUUAUACGAUCUUUAUUACUUGUUCCUCAUGGUGGUUUGGAUGAGGAAAAUCUCUCACAGGCUGAGGCAUUCGAACAAUCAGAUUCUCAGUUGGUGGCACUGUUUAUGACGUUUAGUUUUAGCUGUGCUUGAGGAAAUAUGUCACUUGGGGGCCUCACCGUGUUGGCUUUGACAUUCAGUAGCCUCUCCUACCUUAUUGGCCCUCUUUGCCUUGUGUUCCAGCACACAUGCCUGGGGUCUGUUGCCUUUCACAACCUUGUCUCCACCAUCAUAGACUCUAAUGCUCUGCGGCCAUCAGACUAAGUAAACUAUGCAAACCAAAUUCCUUCUACAGGUUGCCUGGAUCAUGAUGUAACAGAAAAUAACUAAUACUGCUCCUUAGUCACAAUACAGGAAGAUAGAGAUGGAUGGAAGGGAACAGCAUUCUGGUCCUUGUGACACCUUCUCUUCAGCCACUGGCCCAGGUCUUUGAGAACAGGCCAGGUCAUUUGUAAACCCACACAGGUAGUUCUCCCCUUAAAAAGCUGAAUGAGGGAAAAGGAGUUCUCUUGCACUAUCAAAGUGCAUAGUUUCACCUCCUUUGGUUGGCUUAAGUCACAGUCAUAGGAACACCUCACUCAAGCAGUCUGUGGCUGUAGAGAAAGAAGAGAUGGGUUUGCUGUUGUGUGAAGGACCAGGGAGCCUCCAGAGAUACAAUUCAUGAUCUAUAUAGCAAGAGAGUAAGUGGAUAGCCUGGCUGACUUGACAGCACUUGAUUCAGAAGUCCCUAAGUUGGGACUUCAAGGUGGGGAAUGCCUUCUGCAUCUGGAUGCCAAAAUUGGAGACGUGACUGUGUAAAGAAAGAGAACGUAGAAGAGAGUUUUUCUCCUCAGUAUUUAAGACCCCAAGUUGGCUUAUAACACAUGUCCCAAAAACCAUAAAAUCCUAAUAUGGACUCAGUAUUUCACAAAAGGGCUAUUUGGGCAAUAAGACAGACCAUUAGGAAGUGCCAGCACUGAGCUUAUCCCAACCAUGAUUGUGGGAUGACCCAUGAAUGAGUUCCCUUCCGUUGAACUGUGUCUUAAUAUCCUAUGAGCUGGCUGGGAAGGAAUACAAUGGUGUAGUCAUAGAGUGUAAGAUACAGAAAACUUAUAUAGUAGUAAGAGAUAAGGUUAGCCAAAGAGACCAUUGCAGAGAGAAGUACUUUCUUCUUGUGGGUUGCAAACCCCUUCAGCACUUUCAAUCCUUUCUCUAACUCCUCCAACAGGGGCCUGUGCUCAGUCCAAUGUUUGGCUGUGAGCAUCUGCCUUGUAUUUCUCAGGCUUUGGCAGAGCCUCUAAGGAGACAGCUAUAUCAGGCUCAUGUCAGCAAAGCACUUCUUGGCAUCUGCAAUAGUGUCUGGUUUUGGUGUGUGUAUAUGGGAUGGAUCCCCAGGUGGGGCAGUCUCUGGAUGGCCUUUCCUUCAGUCUCUGCUCCACACUUUGUCUCCAUAUUUCCUCCCUUGCAUAUUUUGUUCUAAGGAGGACUGAAGCAUCCAUGCUUUGGUUUUUCUUUUUCUUGAGCUUCAUGUGUUCUGUGAAUUGUAUCUUAGAUAAUCCAAGCUUUGGGGCUAAUAUUCACUUAUCAGUGAGUGCAUACCGUGUGUGUGUGUGUGUGUGUGUGUGUGUGUGUGUGUGUGUGUGUUUUGUGAUUGUGUUACCUCAUUCAGGAUGAUAUUUCUAAUCCCAUCCAUUUGCCUAAGAAUUUCAUUGUGUCGUAAUUUUUAAUAGCUAAGUUGUACCUAUUGUGUAGAUGUACCACAUUUUCUGUAUCCAUUUCUCUGCUGAAGGACAUCUGGGUUCUUUCCAGCUUCUGGCAACUAUAAAUAAGGCUGUCAACCAACCAAACCCUCUAGAGCUCCCAGAGAUUAAACCACCAACCAAAGAGUACACAUGGAGUGACCCCUGGCUCCUGUCUCAUAUAUAGCACAGGAUGGUCUUGUCGGACAUCAGUGGGAGGAGAGGCCCUUGGCCCUGUGAAGGCUUGAUUCCCCAGUGUAGGGAAAUGCCAGGGAAGAGAGGCAGGAGUGGGUGGGUGGAUGGAGGAGCACCCUCACAGAAGCAGGUGGAGGGAGGAUAGGAUAGGGGGUUUCUAGAAGGGAAACUGGGGAAGGGGAUAACAUUUGAAAUGUUAAUAGAUAAAUAUCCAAUAAAAAUUAGUAUUAAAAAAAGAAAAGUCCUUCCAUGGAAUGAGAAUGGGCAAUGAAAAGGGGCCCUUGUUCUUACUUACGUGUUGAAGAUUAGCACUAUUUUUAAGUCUCUAGAACAAAGAGAUUUCCUAAGGGGGCAUUUUCUAUCUAUGAGAUAGUCAGGUUUGUUGAGAUUUCCCCUCUUAAGGGAGGGAAAAACUGUAUGCCCUUUGUUUUUUUUUUUUAACCAAAAAUGCCAUGCCUCAACUCAAGGCUAGAGAGACAAAUUGGAUCUCACGCUUUUAAAUCCCCAAAUUACAAGAUAGAAUAGAGUUAUUUUUAAUUUAAAGAAAGAAAAAUAAAUAAAUUAGUUAAUUUGUUUUUAAAAAAUGGCCAUGCUUUACCAAGAGGCCAUUGUCUUUCCUCAAUAGGCUGAACAAAGCCCUGCUAUAUCUCCUUCAUGUUCUUCCUGUUUGUACAGUAUUUUAAAUAUUGUGAAGAAAUUGUGCUCUUCCUCCCUCCCUCCCUUCCUUCCUUCCUUCCUUCCUUCCUUCCUUCCUUCCUCCCUCCCUCCCUCCCUCCCUCCCUUCCUCCCUCCCUUCCUCCCUUCCUUCCUUCCUCCCUCCCUUCGCAUGGCAUUUCGAAUGCUUGGGAGAGUUAUUAUGAUAUUUUCUCCUUUAUAAAAGUUGAUGUGUUACCAAAGCCACAGAAGGUGGGGCCUGAAGCUAACGCUGACAGAGGAGCCAUGCCCUUCAUGCCAGCUAACCUCGAACCAGCCAUCUGACUCAUGGAGAAUUUUUCUCCUUUUGUUUUUCCUUCAUCUGAAUUUGUGAGAUUACAUCCGCUUUUAUAUAAGCCAGAGUAAUGAAACGAGGGGCUCUAGGAUCCCUUAGGGACAGCAGAGAACAACACUGAACUUGGUAAGCAUGAUGGAGUUUAUUUGGACAAGGGCAUCCCUGUCUUCCACAAAGAUCUGGGUAUGGGCUGUACUUGCCUCCAGUAGGGAUUAGAUUGGACCAAUUAGGAGACUUCUUUGAUUCCUGGAAGCAUCUCUUUGUUAUUGAAUGAUUAUGUAUAUAUGGUGGGGUAGGGGCUCUCAGCAUAUCAGAAAAUUACAGUCAAGUGUAUGGUUACAAUAGAAGCCAGUAGGUUUCCUAGGAAGACUCCAAGGGAAGUGGCAUUGUGUUCAGGCAGGCCAGCAAGCACAUGAUCACUAUCUGGCUUACAGUAGACCCAGCCAGACUAAUGUAACUCUCAAUCAUUGCCUUCCCGACACCUCCUGCCCUCAUCAUCAGAUUCCGAUUUGCUUCCAUAGGGUUUGACUGCCUAAAGUAUUCCUUAGCUUGCAUUCCUAGGCCCCAUUUGGUGCCCAGCACCCAGUAAACAGUCAUUACACAUUCAGGGGACACAAAGGAAACAAAAAAAGUAUCGCUUUCUUCUCAGAGCUCAUCAUGGCCCCCAAGUGAGUAAAUAAUUCAUCUACUUGUUUUAAUGAAUAUUAAAAUGAACUCUUUAAUGAAUAUUUAUUUAGGAGAUAGAUAAUAUUUACACCUACACUGUGCCUUGCAGAUAUAAGGCACUUAAUAAAUAUCUCUUAAAUUACUGAGAAAAUCCCAAUACAGCAUAAAACAGUCUUCCUUCUGUGAGUGUGUAUGUAAAUAUCCUCUUCUAUUCAUCACAUACACACACACACACACACACACACCAUUUCAGAAGUAUUUCUUUUAGUUAGGAGAGUGCUGUAGGAAAAAAAUAUCUAAUUUUAAAGAAGCAAAUUCUAAUAUAGAAAAUAAGUGCAUCCAGUGUCUGUCAUGCAUUGGCUUUGUACCCAAGACAGGACAUAUGUAUAAAAGGCAUAGGUGGAUGCCCUGUCUAACCAAAGCAACAGAAGAGUUGUUCUGAAGGUCAGAGUCCAGUAGCUCUGGACAAACUCUCAUGCUGAGGGGAAUGGCACAGAACCCCUAAAUCCCUGUGAAUACCAGAGGAAGAGGGUGGCACUAUGAGACCACAGCCAUGUGACAGGCAGAGAAGGGAGUCUGUACAUGGAAGAUUCUCAUCAAACUCACAGACUGGCUUCUGGCAAAGAAUAAAUAGUUUUAUUUGCAUUCAACAUUGGCCUCAUCCACUAUCUACCUAUGACGUGGAGUGCUGAUCAUAAAUUGUGUGAUAACAAGCCAGGGUAAGAGCCUGGUGAGGGUGUAAUUCUAGGGAGUCUAGGAAGAUGAAGUAUCAUGGCAGAAGAGAAGGUGGUCUUGUGGCAGAGCUAAGAGGCUCAGGAGGACAGGUGCAGAGAAGAGGGGCACUUCUGAAGACACGGAAGUGUGAAGGGAGGACAAGGAGGGAGGGAAAGCGGCCCAGGCUGAUGAAGAAGAGUCAAGGUUAGAUCUAGGAUACGCUCUCCAAAAGGUGUAGACUGGAACUUGGUUGACACCGUGAGGUUAUUAGGGGAAGAGGGUCAGAGUAAAUGAGUGUUCCGACAAGUUGAGAUAAUAAAGAGCCAGAAGUAAGAGAGCGGGAGGUCAAGUGUGAUAUUGGCUGUGCCACCCAGCUCAGACCCCGUGAAAAGGAACUCGGUGCUUUGACAGACUCAAUUUCUAUAUCUGAAAAAUCAAAAGACCAGUCUGUCCAAGUUCAUCAGUAAUGGCUAUUACCACAGAGCCAUGGUAAUGGGAAAUUCCUUUAAAAUAUGCAGACAGGCGUGUUAGUUCUGUGGAUGGGAUAUCUUUUUAUAAUUUCAAAAACAUCAAAAGAAGUCUUUUUAAAUCUUUACUUCCCCCAGCAAAGCUGUCAGGUGUUCCCUCCAACACUGGUGGCCAGGCACGGUACAGAUCCUACAGGGAUCCUACAGAUCCCCGAAGUUAACAGUCUCAGUCAUUUUGAAGCUCUGAUGUGUCCUCUGCCCCUAAGUCUGCCUGGCCUUUAAGGCAAUUCUCACCAUAUGGCUGAGGACUGUGGGGGUUCCAAAGUGUCAGACCAAGGGUUGCACAGCCACUAAUUUAGGACUGUAUAUAUUCCCAUUAAUAUUUAAAUGCAUUACCAAAAUUAAGGAGGGGUUAGAUCUCUUCUUAGUAGCUGAUGCCGACAGGGUAUUAAUUUUAUGAUUCACUUAGUUGUUGGAGUCAGUUCCCAAAUGUUUUGGCUCUGGUACCAAAAGCCUAUGUCAGGACAAUUGUGUCAUGUUCCAUCAAGUUCUAGCCAAUGAUGCCAGCACCAGAAAACCGAACAACCUCUGGGACUCUUUCCACCCACAUUAUGGCCAGUUUUCAAAGCUCAAGGAUGGAAAAAAAAUCUUGAAAGUACAAUAAGAAUAAAAUCAGUUUUUAAUUGAAUCGCUGCAAUAUACCAGUAAGGCUAGUUAAGCACAUAAUUAAUUGUUGUAACUAUAGCAACAGGAUUAACUGGCACUAUUAGGGUGGGCACCAGGGGUUCAAUGAGAGACUCUUAAGAAGACAAGUGUUAGAGAUUGCAGAAAAUAAUUCACUCCCCUCCAGUGGUUCUCCAGAGAGCCGCAUACUCUUUUGCAACCCAAAAUAAAUCCAUUUAAUAAUAUUUUCUUAGAUUCAUGCAGCUUUCCUUAUCCCAGAGGGCCCUGGGGUGCUUUGUAAGCCAUGAACAUAAAUAUAGAUCUGGAAUAAUGUAUCAGGCCAGAUUUUCCCAGUACUUAAACAACUCUCUGGCGGUUUGUUCUGCACCUCUGGAAGCUCCAUUACCUUCAGGAUACACACAAUCAGUAAUUUAUUAAGUGGAGUCCCCACAGGCCCAAGGCCUGAAAACUCUGGCACGAACAGAAGCGCUCCUGAGAUGGGGCACUUAUUUAUUUAUGCUCUAUCUCAUUCCAAAAAGGAUUAGAGCACCCUUACAGAAUACACAGAGUACAUCAGCAUGAAAUAAAGACAAGCAGGAAAUCCAAGCCUGGGCGCAUUACAGAGAGAAAGAAAUUUCUAAAUACUCAGAAGCAGUUCCCCCUUAUAUUGUAAGAGAACAAUUGGAAAUAAAAGGAGUAGCUUGGACUAAUUAAAAAUUUUCUCUGUAGUUCAUGGUCAUCUAUGAAUAAAACUAAGGACAUGGUGUAUGUGUCUCUACGGUAGUUGAUCCCAGAGAAUAAAGACCAAAGAUGUAAGAAUAGAAACUUAUUUUUCUUUUACAAAAUAUAUAGGGAAAUAUCUUCCCGAUCUUGGAGUGGACUAAGGUUUUCUUUGUAUAAAGGUACAAAUUGGACAUAAAGAAGAUGAGAAAUUGAAAAAAUCAUGAAGGUGUGAAUCUGAGUAGAGCACCCCCGCCUCCUGACGCUCUCUCUCUGUGCUUAAAUCUCAUAACAAAAUCCCUUGCUUGGAAUAUUGAACAGAUGAUAAUUUGAAAAUGUUUUCAGCUGGGCAUGGUGGCUCAUUCCUGUCAGUGUAGCACCCUGAAGCAAGAAGACUGAAUUUCAAGCUGAUCUGGGCUCCAUUAUGAGAUCCUGUGUGAAAACAAAACAAAACAAAACAAAACAAAGCACAAAGUGGGGAUGUAUCUCAGCAUUAGAUGGCCUGCCUAUCACGUUCAGUGCCCUGAACUCAUUCUCUAGCAUCAAGAAAACAGCAAAUGACCUCUUUGCUCUUGGAGUCAGACUUGGAGACAAAUGACCCUAAUGCCAGCCCUGGAAUGGGUCUCAAGAGUUCAAGGAUAGCCAGGAGGGCAUGAUAAGACGCUGUCAAAAAAAGAAACAAAAAGAAGAAAGAAAGAAAGAAAGAGAGAAAGAAUGAAGGAAUAAAAGGACAAAUAGGGAAUGCUCAAUUAGAUCUCUGUACUCUUAAAGAGUAAAAGGAAAGGUAAGGAGUAUACACAGAAUGUAUUUGCGAUUUAUACCUGUGCAUACGUUUAAUAAUCAACAACAUGAUUUCACUGUAGAAA